AUGGGAAAGAAAAGAAUGAGAUUUGAGAACCUGGAAGAGCAGCAGUUUGGCAGUUCAAGUCAGACAAGACCUGAAGUUUCUUCUUUCUAUCUCUUCUUUGGGAUGAUGAUUCCACCAGUUCCCUGGGCAGCCUGUUCCAGGAUCCUGGCCCGGGUGGGGACAGCCAAAGGACUCCUCGAGGUUUCAGCUGAGUGCCAGGAUGCUCAUGCCAGCAGAAAAGGCAGACCAGCUAUCCUGCCACCUAAACAAAAAAGCUCAGCACAAACAGCUUCAGUAAGACUGCAUUCACCUGAGCACCCCAGACUAGUCAUCGCAUGCCAGCAGUCACCUGGAAAAGUCUACCUGGUCCCAGCUCCCAAGCAGAUCUCCAAGCAAGCAAACUGGUUCUACCCAUAUGAUACAGCAACGUAA
rnacentral:lncRNA from 1 species